CUUUAUUAUUGCUAUACUUAAACAGGUGCUGGGAGUCGACAACUAUCCGUGACAUGACAGGAGAGUAAGGGACGGGCAUCAUCCUUGCAUUGAUCCUGUCUCCUAAAACAACUGAGAAACCACAAGGCAAGGAAAACGCAAUGUUGAAGAAGUGUGCCAAACAGUUUUAAAGCCUAACAUUUAAAGCAAGUUGGAAGACUGGAGGAGUAACAAGUAU
rnacentral:lncRNA from 1 species